GAGCGGGCACUUUCGGGUGUCAGCGGCAGACGGGUGAGUAACACGUGGGAACGUACCCUUUGGUUCGGAAUAACGCUGGGAAACUAGCGCUAAUACCGGAUACGCCCUUUUGGGGAAAGGCUUGCUGCCGAAGGAUCGGCCCGCGUCUGAUUAGCUAGUUGGUGGGGUAAUGGCCUACCAAGGCGACGAUCAGUAGCUGGUCUGAGAGGAUGAUCAGCCACACUGGGACUGAGACACGGCCCAAACUCCUACGGGAGGCAGCAGUGGGGAAUAUUGGACAAUGGGCGCAAGCCUGAUCCAGCCAUGCCGCGUGAGUGAUGAAGGCCUUAGGGUUGUAAAGCUCUUUUGUCCGGGACGAUAAUGACGGUACCGGAAGAAUAAGCCCCGGCUAACUUCGUG
rnacentral:rRNA from 1 species